rnacentral:rRNA from 1 species
GUGUCAGCAGCCGCGGUAAGACAGAGGUCCCGAGCGUUAGACGGAAUCACUGGGCUUAAAGCGUGUGUAGGCGGAAGGGUAAGUACCUUGUGAAAUCCCACAGCUCAACUGUGGAACUGCUUGGUAUACUGCUUUUCUUGAGCCACUUAGGGGCAACCGGAACAAAUGGUGGAGCGGUGAAAUGCGUAGAUAUCAUUUGGAACGCCAAUGGUGAAAACAGGUUGCUGGGAGUGUGCUGACGCUGAGACACGAAAGCCAGGGGAGCAAACGGGAUUAGAUACCCCCGUAGUCC